UAAAAAACGAUGAAAAGAUGAGUAGCAGUUAACACCUUUUUAGAGAGCCUCUGGUUGGUGAAAAGGGGUAAGGUUGGUGAUUGUGAAUAUGGUCUUGAAGUGAGGAAUGUUGAGCGUAUGCGAGGCAUUCAUGGGGACGCCCAUUACCGCGUGCGAGUAUGAUUGUACUCAGCGAGGGAGUGUAUGUGAAUACAUUCUAAAUUAAGGUGGUAACACGAGAGAUCGUCCUUACU
rnacentral:ncRNA from 1 species